AUUGAACGCUGGCGGCAGGCCUAACACAUGCAAGUCGAACGAGUGGCGGACGGGUGAGUAAUGUCUGGGAAACUGCCCGAUGGAGGGGGAUAACUACUGGAAACGGUAGCUAAUACCGCAUACCAUCGGAUGUGCCCAGAUGGGAUUAGCUAGUAGGUGGGGUAACGGCUCACCUAGGCGACGAUCCCUAGCUGGUCUGAGAGGAUGACCCACCACAACUGAACUUAGGAACGGGCCAAACUCCCACGGGGGGCAGCAGGUGGGGAUAUUGCACAAAGGGCGGCAGCCUGAUGCAGCCAUGCCGGGUGGAAUAAGAAGGCCCUCGGGUUGUAAAGUACUUUCCGCGAGGGAGCGUUACUCGCAGAAGAAGCACCGGCUAACUCCGUGCCAGCAGCCGCGGUAAUAC
rnacentral:rRNA from 1 species